rnacentral:rRNA from 1 species
UUCCUACGGGAGGCAGCAGUAGGGAAUCUUCCGCAAUGGACGAAAGUCUGRCGGRGCAACGCCGCGUGAGUGAAGAAGGUUUUCGGAUCGUAAAACUCUGUUGUUAGGGAAGAACAAGUGCCGUUCGAAUAGGGCGGCGCCUUGACGGUACCUAACCAGAAAGCCACGGCUAACUACGUGCCAGCAGCCGCGGUAAUACGUAGGUGGCAAGCGUUGUCCGGAAUUAUUGGGCGUAAAGCGCGCGCAGGUGGUUUCUUAAGUCUGAUGUGAAAGCCCACGGCUCAACCGUGGAGGGUCAUUGGAAACUGGGGAACUUGAGUGCAGAAGAGGAAAGUGGAAUUCCAAGUGUAGCGGUGAAAUGCGUAGAUAUUUGGAGGAACACCAGUGGCGAAGGCGACUUUCUGGUCUGUAACUGACACUGAGGCGCGAAAGCGUGGGGAGCAAACAGGAUUAGAUACCCUGGUAGUCCACGCCGUAAACGAUGAGUGCUAAGUGUUAGAGGGUUUCCGCCCUUUAGUGCUGCAGCUAACGCAUUAAGCACUCCGCCUGGGGAGUACGGUCGCAAGACUGAAACUCAAAGGAAAUUGACGGA